UACGGAGGAUGCGAGCGUUAUCCGGAUUUAUUGGGUUUAAAGGGCGUGUAGCCGGGUUGACAAGUCAGAUGUGAAAUCCUGCGGCUUAACCGCAGAACUGCAUUUGAAACUGUUGAUCUUGAGUACUGGAGAGGCAGACGGAAUUCCUAGUGUAGCGGUGAAAUGCGUAGAUAUUAGGAGGAACACCAGUGGCGAAGGCGGUCUGCUGGACAGCAACUGACGGUGAGGCGCGAAAGCGUGGGGAGCAAACAGG
rnacentral:rRNA from 1 species